AAAAAUAUACAAGUAUUGAUUCCAUUUCCAAACUAUUAUACUAUGUGAAUAUAUUGGCAAUUAAUCCAAUUAUAUAUAAAAGGAGAUACUGACAGUAGAAUUGAAAUAGCUACCAGUUUCAAUCAAAUAACUACUUUAAUUUCUGUAUCAACUAUCAAGCCUCCUGUGUAUUAUUGUUUCCUAAGCAUCAAUGAGGGGGCACUUGUUCUAAAUAUAUGCAAUAAGUCUGGUUACCAUUAAAAAAUGUCCAUAUUCAGAGUUACCGUUGUACUAUAUUUUAAUAAAAUACUGCAGAAAUGCAAUAUAUUUCAUGAUUUUAAGAAAUUGAAUGAGGGCUGCAUGGUUAAAAGAGGAGGGGGGCUUAUUUAUUUUUGAUUUUUGUAUCCAAAUGAGGGGGAGGGAGGUUAUUGGAGAGGGACUUGAAGAGAAGGGGGCUAAAUAUAGAAAUUACAGUACUUCCAUUCCUUCCUCUCCCCUCCCAAACAUGCUGCAGGAGAGUGGCAACUGGGGUUAAAGCCUGGAUUGCAAGGUUGAUGUAUAAUUUGCAUGUUAUGUACCUGGUAAUAUGGAGUAAUGAGCUAGUAAAUACACCCUUGCC